AGAUCAGAAGGAAGGACCUCAGGAGGGAGGGAGAGGGAAGGAGGGGAGACUGGGGAAUGAAAAACACCCGGAGAAAGGCCAGGGGCUGGGCCCCUCCCCAUCCCCCACUGCAGGCCUCAAUGGGUGGGGGGAGCCGCGGGGGGUGCUGCCCUGAGGGGGCCUGCCCUGCUCUGCUCCCUGCCAGUUGGUUUAGAGGAGGGGGUGGUUGCUGACCGGGCAGGAUGCCUUCUAGAAAUAAUUUUUGGCCUGGGGAACCGGUUUCUUUCUGGGCUUCCUGGCAGGACCAUGGCUGCUCACCCAGGGGUUGACCAAGGGGUGUGUGUUCCUGGGCUCUGGGCCUGCUACUGUGCCCAUUGCUGGCCAGGAAUGUUUUGCCUGGAGUCAGUCACACCAUACCCAGGGUGCCACAGUAUAUGGAUGGGCUACGGGGGUUGGCGCUUACUGGAGAAGUGGCCGGUGGGCCUUGUGGAAGGGGAGGCCGCCAGGUCUGGAACCUGAGCUGUGAGGACGUUCGCUCACCUGAGAGUGUGGCGGCAUCCUAGAACAGUCACCUUGGGGAGCCCUGGCACCCAGAGUGCUCCCAGCUCCUUGCUGCCCUGCCCUCUCAGCAGGGCUCCAGGCAGAGUCCCUGGAAGGGCCUUGGAGGUGGGGAGCUGCCCAGCCUCACACCCAAGAGGCAUUGGUGGGUCAGAGGCACAUCUGGCCUGGAGGGAAGUGUGUGGGCACCAGGGCCCGGCUGUCGGGUGGGGAGAGGCAGGAACAGAGCCUGGGAUUGAGCGAGGAGGGACUCUGAGCCCCGCCCCAUCCUGGAAUCAGGUCGGUUACUCUCAGGGUAGCUAGCCUCAUUCCUCCUCUGCAGCCACCCCGCUCCUUGGGUUGACUUGGCUUGGCGGCUGUCCCCAUUCCCUUCUCAUGCCCACCAGGCACUGCCCCCCACUCCCAUCUCCCCAAGGAUGCCAGCACGUGGGCGUGACAGCCAGCCAGACCUCGAGCAUGAAGAGCUUGGGUCAGCUCUUUACGGACUGGCCCUGUGGCUUGGGGCAAAGUACUUGACCUGGGAAGCCACCCGCUCUGCGUCUCCAGAAUGGAGACCGAAGCCUGCCCUGGCCACAUCACAGAGCUUGGUGGGGACCGAACUCAACUCAGACACCGAUAAGCACUUCACGCAGGUGCAGAUGUCAGGGCUGUGUCUUCCGCAGGUCAGAAAGACAACCGCCCUGGAGACAAGUUCCAGCUCACGUUCCCACUGCGGACCAACUAUAUGUAUGCCAAGGUGAAGAAGAGCCUGCCGGAGAUGUACGCCUUCACUGUCUGCAUGUGGCUCAAGUCCAGCGCCGCGCCAGGGGUGGGCACGCCCUUCUCCUAUGCUGUGCCCGGCCAGGCCAACGAGCUGGUCCUCAUUGAGUGGGGCAACAACCCCAUGGAGAUCCUCAUCAAUGACAAGGUGGCCAAACUGCCUUUUGUCAUCAAUGAUGGCAAGUGGCACCACAUCUGCGUCACCUGGACCACCCGGGACGGGGUCUGGGAGGCCUACCAGGAUGGCACGCAGGGUGGCAGUGGCGAGAACUUGGCACCUUAUCACCCCAUCAAGCCCCAGGGUGUGCUGGUGCUGGGCCAGGAGCAGGACACUCUGGGUGGUGGGUUUGAUGCCACCCAGGCAUUUGUGGGUGAGCUGGCCCACUUCAACAUCUGGGACCGCAAGCUGACCCCCGGGGAGGUCUACAACCUGGCCACCUGCAGCACCAAGGCACUGUCCGGCAAUGUCAUCGCCUGGGCUGAGUCCCACAUUGAGAUCUACGGUGGAGCCACCAAGUGGACCUUCGAGGCCUGUCGCCAGAUCAACUGAGCGCGGCAGGCCAGGCUGAGCCCGCCCGCCCUCACCCCCUGCUUGUGCGGCGAUGAUCUGUUUUGUGCGUCUCUUCUCUCCCUUUUCCCCAGGAAUGAACCGAGGCCGUCGCCCCUGCACACGCACACGCACACAGCCUGGUUUUGUCCUCAUGCACACGAAGCAGCCCCUGCUCCCAUCUGUCCCUGAGGAAGCCCCACUUCUCUGUAGGAGCCCGGACUCUCUCAGGCAUGCCCCAUUCACAGCUAAAGUGGGUGCUGCGACGUUUUGAACAAGGCAGAAGUAGCGCCCGUCGGGUUGUGGCAUCCUUGGAUCUGCAGGGAUCUUCUCCGUUUGCAUGUUCCUCGGGGUGGCGUGUUCCUUGCUCCCUGGGUCCAACGUGUGUUCCCGCACCUGCAUGGACUGCCCCAGUUCUGUGUUGUGUGCCAAGUGCCGCCCAGUGUUCUGUGACCACCCGUGUAGCUACUGAAAAUGGCUGGGUAAGCAAGCCAAGGGUGUUGGAGGAGGUCAAGAGAGAGCUCAGUUUCCCUCUCCCCCUCCCCAAACACACCAAGAAGCAUUUUUAACGUGUAGGUUGAGAACAAGCCUAAAGGAUUCCCACAGCUGGGAGCCAGCGAGAGAGCUUGGAGUCGCCUCUCUAGACCAGAUCUAGCCCCACCCUCACUCCAGCCAUCUCGGAGCCCUUGUGUAGGCAACGCCCAGUGCGGGCUGUGUGGGGUGCUCCCCUGCCAGCACCUCCGGCCAGCCCCGCCCCUGCCGAUCUACUGGACCGCAGACCACCUUCUGCCCCCGUGGGCCAGGUGGGAGCUGUCCGUUCAGGACCAUGAGCCAUCCUCUGCCCUGACUAGCGAGGGGCAGAGCACACCCCAGUGCUUACGCCUCCACCCCUGCAGCCUCCUGGCCCGCUCACCUUCCUCACCCCUCCUCUGACCCACCCAUGGUGCCAGGGCCGAAGCUGACCUUUAGCUCCCUCCUGCCCCUUGCUAGGGUCUGAGCCAAGCCCCUCGACUCCCUCACUGUGUUGACACUUGGCACUUUGCUGGCCCGGAGAAAGGUCGAUGACACAGCCGCAAAUCUAAUCCACGUAGUUCCCAUCUACUCCUUAAUCUGAUUGAUGUUCCCUCUUGCACUGAAUAAUACAUGCCUCUCUCAGGUAAGCCAUUUUAUAAAACAAGAAGAUAAAAAGCACUGUUGAGGCAGUGUUUGCUUUUGCCGAGCUGGUGUCCGACAGCUCCCUGGGUGUCCGGGGUGGGAGAGCUGUUGACAGAAGCUCUCCGGGCCCUCAGGGGCUUAGAUCCCACUUGAGUCGUAAGCCUUCUUGCUUUUGAUAACACAGUAUUAUUUCUCUUACUGUAGAAGAAAAAGUUUAUUACCAAACAAGAGUAUUUUUAUGAAAGAAAAGGACAAACCUAUAAAUUAACUCAACCUAUAUCUCCCUUGAAAAUACUUUCAGGCUCCACCAAAACGUAGAACUGAAAGCAUGUAUUUUGGAAGAAAGAGAUACAUUUUGUAUGCUUUCUUUUCCUUUUGUAGAUUCCCAGUUUAUUUUCUAGGACUGCAAAGAUCACUUUGUCACCAGCCCUGGGACCUGAGACCAAGGGGGUGUCUUGUGGGCAGUGAGGGGGUGAGGAGAGGCUGGCAUGAGGUUCAGUCAUUCCAGUGAGCUCCAAAGAGGGGCCACCUGUUCUCAAAAGCAUGUUGGGGACCAGGAGGUAAAACUGGCCAUUUAUGGUGAACCUGUGUCUUGGAGCUGACUUACUAAGUGGAAUGAGCCGAGGCUUUGAAUAUCAGUUCCAACCUUGAUAGAAGCAGCUUGGGUUACAUGUGGUUUGCAUUAAGAGGAUAGAAUCCUUUGGAAUCUUAUGGCAACCAAAUGUGGCUUGACGAAGUCGUGGUUUCAUCUCUUAAACACAGUGUGUAAAUUUAUUCAACUAACGAUGGGAAAUGUAUUACUUCUGUACACAGUGGACUUAAGCGCAAUUUGUUGAAAGGGAACAAGUCAUUGAAGAGAAAAAAAAAAAGCCCAAUACUUAGAGUCCCAAUUUUGUCUUAUUUGCC
rnacentral:sRNA from 1 species